CAUUAAGAAGCUAGAUAAGCAUUAACCUUUUAAGUUAAAGACUGGGAGUUUAAACCUCCCCUUAAUGA